ACACCUAGACACGAUUCUAAGAUUUACUGACAUAUAGAGCAGACUCUGAGUUCUUUUCAGCAUCAAACCUCUUUAUUAUUUUGUGUUGGACAUCUGAUUGUGUAGCAAGGAAACUCAAGAAGUAGACAUUCCAUCCUACAGUAAGUGUUUGGGUUUACUUUUAGUUUAAACAAGGUUUUAAUUGUUGUUGUUAAACAGUUUGCUUUAGAUCCAAACUUUACAUGCACAAAGUAUACAUUGAAUCACCUUUUCUUCAUUUUAUCCUCACCAUUUUCUUAUGUUUUGUUUUUGAGUGUCUAUUGAAUAUACUAGGCUAUAUUUUCUUACACAAAGCAACUGAGCAAUAGAGGUCUUCUCUGCAAGGAUAUGAAGUAGCUUGAUUUUUUGUAUAUGUAAAUAGCUUUAUAUAUAUUUUUUUCAUACACGGCUUUAUAUUUUUUUGUCAUACACAGAUUGGACAGGUUGCGUGAUGGAUUGUGUACUACAGUGAUGUAGACGUGCAUCGGCAUAUGAAGGUGUAAAUGUGGACUUGCAAAAAAUGUGAUUUAUCAGUAGGCAGUAGGUACCAGUUAUUAAAACACUUCAAGUUAAUCCAUGGUCGUUAUGGUCACAGAUAUAUUAACUGCAUUUCUUAUUACCAACAUAUACACUGUUGCUGUUAUAUUUGCUGUUGGCCUGUACUGUAUUAACUGAUAAGAUUUUACUAUUGUGUUAUUUAUUUAGCAAGUAGUUUAUACUGUUGCUGCAGACAGCUGCAAAGUUUCAUAAUUCUGUGAAUCUAAUGCUUUUCUGAGAUGGAAAGAUUGUUGAAGUUUAAAAUUUCUCUAUUUGCAAUGAUUGUGUUGUGAGAGGUGGAAUGGUGCUGUAGUGUGUUGUAACUCUCGAAGUUAAAUUUAUGAAAUUAAAAUGAUUUUUUUAUUGUAUUGCUAUUGUUUUUGUUGUUUAUAUAUUACAUAUUCAUACAGAUUAUAAAAUAAGCACAAUCUUGCAGUAGUGUAAUACAAAAGCAAAAAAUACUUAUAAUGCGUAAGUUGGUAUAUUUUGUGUAUAUAUUUUAUGGUAUAUUAUAUGUUGGUAUAUUUUGUGGUAAAAACAGUGACCGUUUUGUCUUAACUUACUUGAAAGUUACAUUGAUUUAAGGAAAACACUUUAGUUUAAUGUAAUGCAGAUACAUUUGAUUUGUCAAUGUAAUAUAGGAAAAUCACAUUUGUUUAAUGUAGUAAUUCAGUUUUAUUACACCCAACAGACAUAAUUAGAUAUAGUUAUAUCAAUGUAAUACUUUUAUGUGGAAACUUUGCCACACAAAUAAAUUACGUUCAACUAAUGAGGUUUUUUAUUACUCUAUGAACAUGAUUAUAUAUAGUUAUAGAAAUGUAGAACUUCUGCAUGGAAAUUUGCCACAUGAUUAAAUUACAUUUAACUAAUGAGGGUUUUUUACUCGUUGAACAUGAUUAUAUAUAGUUAUAGAAAUGUACAAAUUUCAUGUCGAAAUUUGCCACAUGAAUAAAUUACGUUCAACUGAUGAGACAUUUUCGGACUCAACAAACAUGAUUAGAUACAAUUAUAUUAAUGUGCAAAUUGUAUGUGGAAAUUUGCCACAUGAAUAAAUUACGUUCAACUGAUGAGUCAUUUUUUUGAGUGCAGUGAUGAUGUGUUGUGUGCUCGUGCUGUAGUUCCAUCCCACUCUCCCGACUAGUCCCACCUAUAGCGGCUCGUGUUUUUCCGGAAAUAAUCGUACAGCUGUAUCUGUCUUUUGUAAAUUUGAUCAAACUAAAUACUCUUCGGAGAUACGACGUAUGCAAUACUACUGUAUAGGCACUCAAGAUUAAUAUGAAACUGAGUGUGUUGCCCGAUCUUUAA